UACGGAGGGGGCUAGCGUUGUUCGGAAUUACUGGGCGUAAAGCGCGCGCAGGCGGCUUUGUAAGUCAGCGGUGAAAGCCCGGAGCUCAACUCCGGAAUUGCCUUUAAGACUGCAUCGCUAGAAUUGUGGAGAGGUAAGUGGAAUUCCGAGUGUAGAAGUGAAAUUCGUAGAUAUUCGGAAGAACACCAGUGGCGAAGGCGACUUACUGGACUCAUAUUGACGCUGAGGUGCGAAAGCGUGGGGAGCAAACAGG
rnacentral:rRNA from 1 species